AUGGAUAGACGGAUCCAAGCUCCUCUGGUCGACGGCUCGGCAUGCUUGUGCAGAGCGGAGAGAGCCGCCGCCGUCGCCUCCACCGGCAGGCACGUCCCGAGAUCCAGACCUUGCGUGCAAUCGAGCGUCAGAGCUUCCAUCCACCCACUGAGCGAGAAGAGAUCGUCGCGAGCUGACCGCCGAAGCGACGGGCAACGGCCACUGCUCCCCGGCCUUCCCGACGACCUCGCCAUCGCGUGCCUCAUCCGCGUGCCGCGAGCUGAUCACUGCAAGCUGAGGCUUGUGUGCAGGAGGUGGCUCCGCCUCCUCGCGGGCAACUACUUCUACGGCCUCCGCGGGAGGCUCGGGCUCGCCGAGCAAUGGCUGUACGCCUUCAAGUCCGAUGGCGACGGGCGCGUGUCCUGGGAAGUGCUCGACCCGGCGGCCGCGGCAUGGCGCACGAUGCCGCCCGUGCCCGCUGAAUACGCGGCCGCCGCCGGGUUCAGCUGCGCCGUGCUCGGUGGCUGCCACCUGUACCUGCUCGGCGGCAGGGACCCGCGAAGGGGCGCCAUGCGGCGGGUGGUGUUCUACAGCGCCCGGAGCAACCGGUGGCACCGCGCGCCGGACAUGCUGCGCCGGCGCCACUGCUUCGGCGCGUGCGUCAUGGGAAACCGCCUGUACGUCGCUGGCGGAGAGAGCGGCGGCGGCGGCCUCAGGUCCGUGGAGGUCUUCGACCCGGCCAAGAACCGGUGGUCUUUCGUGUCCGACAUGGCCCGGGCGCUAGUGCCGUUUGUCAGCGUGGUGCACGGCGGGAGGUGGUACGUGAAGGGGCUCGGCGCGGGACGGCAGGUGCUCAGCCAGGUGUACACGCCGGAGACGGACAAGUGGUCGACGGUGGCAACGCUCGAUAGCAUGGUCACCGGCUGGAGAAGCCCCAGCGCUUGCAUCGACGGCCGGCUCUACGCCGCUGACUGCAAGGACGGUUGCCGGCUCAGAGCCUACGACGAGGCCGCAGACGCGUGGAGUGGCUGCGCCUCAAGCGGGCACCACCUGGGGAGCUCACACGCUCUCGAGGCGGUCGCAAUGGUCACGCUUCGUGGCAAGCUCUGUGUCGUUCGAAACGACAUGAGCGUGUCGGCCGUCGACGUCGCCGCCGGGGCAGGAAACCAGCCGUGGGAGAUCCUCGUCGGCAAAGGGCAGAUAAAGAGCUUCGUCACGAACCUCCUGGCGAGCAUUGCCGGCCGCGGCCGGGCCAAAAACCGCGUCUUGCAUUGCCAAGUCCUUGAGGCUUAG
rnacentral:rRNA from 1 species